rnacentral:rRNA from 1 species
AGAACGAACGCUGGCGGCAUGCCUAAUACAUGCAAGUCGAACGAACUCUUCGGAGUUAGUGGCGCACGGGUGCGUAACGCGUGGGAAUCUGCCCUUGGGUUCGGAAUAACAGUUGGAAACGACUGCUAAUACCGGAUGAUGACGAAAGUCCAAAGAUUUAUCGCCCAGGGACGAGCCCGCGUAGGAUUAGCUAGUUGGUGAGGUAAAGGCUCACCAAGGCGACGAUCCUUAGCUGGUCUGAGAGGAUGAUCAGCCACACUGGGACUGAGACACGGCCCAGACUCCUACGGGAGGCAGCAGUAGGGAAUAGUUGGACAAUGGGCGAAAGCCUGAUCCAGCAAUGCCGCGUGAGUGAUGGAAGGUCCUUA